rnacentral:rRNA from 1 species
GAGGGAAAGGCGAAAAGAACCCCGGCGAGGGGAGUGAAAAAGAACCUGAAACCGUGUACGUACAAGCAGUAGGAGCCUCUUUAUGGGGUGACUGCGUACCUUUUGUAUAAUGGGUCAGCGACUUAUAUUCUGUAGCAAGGUUAACCGUAUAGGGGAGCCGUAGGGAAACCGAGUCUUAACUGGGCGAAUGAGUUGCAGGGUAUAGACCCGAAACCCGGUGAUCUA